rnacentral:lncRNA from 1 species
UGGUGGAGUGGAAUAGUGAUUCCACUUCAAUUUGCUGGAUAUCAACCAUACAAUACAACAGACCGUUUAUGUCUACAAUUCAUUGCUUACUAGACCUAUUCCGAGUCAACUCAACCGGGUAAACUAAACUCAACAUGAGCACAAGGAGCCACUAGUCCUUCACAUCAACACCGGUUUUGUGAUCACCAUCCUCAUCAUCUACAGGCCCACAUUCCGAAUUCGAGCUAGCAUCCAAGUCCUUCUCCGGCGAGUCAAGCUGCACACACUCAGCAACCGAGUGAGACGGUGAGUUGUAUUCCGAGUCAUGGCUUCUGUUAGACGGUGUCACGUCUCCUUUCCUCACCACAUUAAACACAAUCCCGUUAUGUAUCCUCUCCGGCUGAAGAAGAUCGCCUGCAGCCACCGUGAUGCUACCACUACUACUACUGGUAUGGACCCGGUUGUUAGGGGUGUUUUCCCGUUGAUCGGCUUCGGGAUCCGAACUUCUCUCAGGCGGUACCACACGCAAGUUUUGGAAACUCCUGAGCGCCUUGUUCAUUUUCGAGUCCGUAUCUAGGUUCUGAACGAACUCGACGAACUGAUCCGCAGAAGUCGUUCUCAUCAACGGCCCACCAGAUCUCGUCCACGUAUUCAACUCCGCACUCUCUGACUCGCUAUCGCUCCCGUCGUGUAUGCGGUGGUGCCGCCAGUUACGACCGCCGUAGUGGAGGGUGGCGUCUGCUAGAUCUUCUUCUAGAGAUCCUGUUGAAUUCUCUCGUGCUAUACAGUUCCACGACGGUAUUCGUUUCGAUGCGUUAAACCGGACACUGUUUGAUCCACCGUGAGAAGCCGCAGCCGCGCGUUCGGCGCUUCGUUUCAACCUACGCAUGUGGUUUAGAAUCGCGACACACUCGUCAAGCGCGAGCUCGAUCCCGCAAUUGGCUUUUAUGGCAGAAAGCUUCUCCCAUGUGCAUCUUCGGCCUUGAUUGGCGGCUUUUUGAAGCUCCAAAUGAGACGGAUUUUGUAUGAUCUUCGAGUACUGGCAUAACGACGGUAACAUCGCCCUCCCAAUCUUGAGCAAAUAGCUUUGCAAGUCCUCCUAACGGAAAACCGAGUUCCAGAACUUGAUUGCAUCGGUGUUUCACUUCCAUUUCGACAAGAUGUGCAAGCUACAACAAGAUCAUAUAAUAUUUAAAAAAAAAAGAAAAUAUAAAAAAGCACAAAUUUUAACAGUAUAGAUUUGCAGGAAUGUACCUUUGCGGCAAAAUUGCCCCCGUAAGCUCUCACGAACUCUUUAAACCGGAGUAAAGGCGCGAUAUGUGGAUUUGCUUGACUAACGAUAAAAUGAUUUACAUUAAAAAGCUCUUUCAACUGAAUCAUGGGCAAAUCAAUCUCCAAACUACCGUCCCUCCAACGCCUGACAGACGUGCCAGUAGCUUCCUCGGGGCCCCAAUGAAAAGGCGGGUGAUACGGUACAAUUUCACCGCUUCUAUCCUUUGCCAUAAGUUCUUGAGCUUCAAAAAGGCCAGGGAACGCACAAGAAGCGGUAACCGCGCUCCAUAUAACCACGUGAGGUGAAGUCAAGUAGUUUAAACAUCUUGGCGGCUCGUGUUUUCUUGGGGAACAUACGGUUAUACCAAGAACACGGCCCGUCAUAUCGUAAGCUUCUUGAAACGUAAGAUUAUUUGUUAAGUUUCGUAACAGAACUUGUAAAUGUCUAAUGUCGUGAAGCGCUCCUUGCGUCAUAACCCUUUUGAAAACAUUGAAAAUUCCCCCCAUUUGAUCGAAGAAUUGCAACGAAUACCACGAAUCCUCGAAGAAACUUUGAAGUUCGGGCCAUGAUCUGGUAGCGACAACCGAACACAUUAUGGACCCCACGCUCGACCCCGCGAUUAUUCUAGGCAAAAGUUUAUGUUCUACUAAAGUUUUCACCACACCCACAUGAAACGAUCCAAGUGACGCACCACCACUUAAAAGCAAAGCGGUUCUACCAAACGCAUGCCGAGUUUCAUGCAUAAACGCGAGCUUCUCUUCUAAAAGAAGCUCGUCAGAAUCCGAAUCACAAACCAUUCUUAAUUGCAUUGAAACCUCAUCGAUAUACUCUUUAAUCAGCUUUGGGACUUGAUGCCUACCUUUAUGAAGCUCGGGAUUACACAUGUUUCCAAGAUUUCUAAUCAAAUCCGCACGCAUACAAAAAAUAAUAUCUCUAAGCGAACACUCUUGACGCCUAUGUCUAAGCUCCUGAAGUUUAUUCCUAACAAGUUCUACAUCGUAAAGAUCAUGUUCAUUCAACUUAGGCGUUUCUUUAUCCAACAUUUUAGCAGCGUGGGCCCAUUCUUCAUACGUUAACGCAGCCCUCAUCAUGUUCCUCCAAAACUUCCUUCUAUACGCCAUUUCGGCUUUUAACUUCACAUUCGUGUACCGUUUUAACAAAAACGCUAUCAAUGUUACCAUCAACAAUAUCCCUUGAGGGUUUCGAGGGUGCAACCAUGAUAUAACAGGUCUACCAAUGUCAGAAACACAUGUUCUAAUCCUAUGUAGGUAAUCCAACAACACGUGUACAAUCUGAUGCCUCAAAUGUGCAAUUGAUUUGCAUAACAACACCCUAAAAGCAAUCGUUCUGCCAAACAAGGUUGUCGGUCCGAUUAAGAACCGAUCAACCGCCGCUUCACUACUUAUAUCCAUUUCUAAAGUGCAAAUUUCAACUUUCUAAUCAAAACCCUAAUUCACAAUAUUUUCCCCCAGUUUCAAAUCAAACCCUAAUUUUCAAAUCAAACCCUAAUCUUCAAAUUAAGCCCUAAAUUGUUAAAUUCUACGAAAUUAAAUGAAGAUUAACAAUAGCUGACCUUAAUCAGAGUGAAAUCAACCGCAAAGAUUGACGAAAACUGCGAAAUUGGGGAAGAACAAACCCUAAUUGCAACUGGAAAUUCAAAAUUGAGUUGAAGGGUGUGAAAGUAUUGAUGAAUUGAAUCGAAAGUUGGGUCCUUUAAAGAUUGAAAUGACGAUGAAGGUAUGGGAUCUGAAAGUAGAUCAGAAGUCAAGUUGAAAAUGUGAUCAAGAUAACAUCAACAUGUAUCUCGUUAUAAUAUUAUAUGUAUGUAUAUGCGUAUUGAAACAAAAUUAUUCAAAGUUGCGGAUAAGAGGAGAGGAGGUACAGGUGUGCAUCAUCGGUGACUGUGCACAAGAUGAUGAAGGAACUGGUGCUCAAUUUUGAAAAUUGAUUAAAAUUAGGGCAAAAUUGAGAAUUUAGGGUUAAGAAAUUUGGGGAUUUUGGAAAGGGUUUGGUAGUUCUAAUCUUAUGGUAGUUUUAAUCUUAUUAAGGUUUUAGUU